rnacentral:rRNA from 1 species
GACGAACGCUGGCGGCGUGCUUAACACAUGCAAGUCGAACGGAAAGGCCCUGCUUUUGUGGGGUGCUCAAGUGGCGAACGGGUGAGUAACACGUGAGUAACCUGCCCUUGACUUUGGGAUAACUUCAGGAAACUGGGGCUAAUACCGGAUAGGAGCUCCUGCUGCAUGGUGGGGGUUGGAAAGUUUCGGCGGUUGGGGAUGGACUCGCGGCUUAUCCGCUUGUUGGUGGGGUAGUGGCUUACCAAGGCUUUGACGGGUAGCCGGCCUGAGAGGGUGACCGGGCACAUUGGGACUGAGAUACGGACCAGUCGCCUACGGGAGGCAGCAGGGGGGAGUAUUGCACAAUGGGGGGAAGGCUGAGGCAGCAACGCCGGGUGCGGGAUGACGGCCUUCGGGGUGUAAACCGCUUUCGCCUGGGACGAAGCGUGAGUGACGGUAAUGGGUAAAGAAGCACCGGCUAACUACGUG